rnacentral:lncRNA from 1 species
UAUAGAAUACCCUUUGGGAAACAUUGGGUUAAAAUAGAUUGCAGUACAUUCAUUCCAUGGAAAUCUUGGCAACAAUGAAGAAUGAUGGCAUAGUCAUAUAUCACUUGACAUGGAAAGAUGUUUACACUAGAUUGUAAAGUUAAAAAGCAGUGUGAUUAAUGGGAUCUCGUUUUUGUUUUUUUGUUUUAUUGGCUGUUUUUUUUUUUUUUUUUUUUUUUUUGAGACAGAGUUUCACCCUUGUCACCCAGGCUGUAGUGCAAUGGCAUGAUCUCAGCUCACUGCAACCUCUGCCUCCUGGGUUCAAGCGAUUCUCCUACCUCAGCCUCCCGAGUAGCUGGACUACAAGCACCCGCCACCAAACCCGGCUAAUUUUUGUAUUUUUAGUAGAGACAGGGUUUCACUGUGUUGGCCAGGCUGGUCUCCAACUCCUGACUUCAGGUGAUCUGCCCGCCUCAGCCUCUCUAGGAGGUAGGAAAGUUGAUGGUUUUUAUUUUUAUUUGCUUUUCUCUUUGCCUUGUCUGUACUUUCAGAUUUUUCCACAUGGACUGUCUAUUACUUGUGUAAUCAAGAAACAAUAGAAGUUAAAUAUAUUUUAGAAACUCAUAUGCAGUUAUUAAUUUUGUAAGAGAUGGGGUGAGAGGAUCCAGAAUUUUGCCUCUAUUUAAGCUUUUAUUGAAUUAAAGUCUAAGAGUCUUUCACUGUUGGAAAGCUCUACUCAUUUAAACAUUCUUUCUGAUAUGGAACCAAAAUCUACCUUCCAUCCUUUGGUCCUAAUUUGUCCUAGGGAAUGCCACAAAAUAAGCAAAACCCAUCUCCUCUCCAAUAGAUGGACUUUCAGAUAUUUGGCAAUGGCUAUCAUGUCUCCAUAAAUCUUUCUUCCUCUAGAUUUUCCAUUCCAGUCUUUUUUUCUUUGAGAUAGUUUCCAGACCUUGAUACUAUCCCAUUGGCUUCUGGACAUUUUCCAGUUUAUCAAUAUGUUUAAAGUGUGGCACUCAGAAAUGACCACAACACUCCACCCUUUUUCUACAUUUCAUUCUCAGUUUCUAUAAAUUGUUGUGUUAGAGUUCUCUGACUAAAAAGUAAUUUCGGAAUACUUCCCAGUUCAGUGUGACUGUACUCUGAAUCCUAUCCUAUGAUUAUGCAGAAGGAGCAGGACUGAAAUAAUAAAAAAGAAAGAAAAAUAAUAAUGAAAAAAUUAAGAUUAUAUGAGAGACACUCAAUUAUCUAUCCCUCCAUCUUUUAAUUUCUAAGGUUAUAUAGAUGGAUAAAGCUUUCCAGAUCAAUUUCUCAUCCAGCCUCCUGCAAUUAUUAAAACAUUAGUAGAACUUUUUACCAAACAUUGAAAAAAAAAUGAGAGAGCUUCUCUACUGAUGGGGAAGGCAAAGGAUUCUCUGUAGCUUGGACAAGGAAUUUGAAGAAUCUCUUGUCCUAUACCAUUUUCUACUCUUUGUCCCAGUCGUUGGUACCAGUUUUUCUGGCUUUUGAUCAACAUUAGAGCUGAGUUAGACAAGGUCAAGCUGCAUGCAGAUUGAUUGGCCUCUCAACUGAGAGGCACCCCACAAGAUGAUAGUGAAAGGCCGGGGUUCAUGGUGAUGUGUAGAAUAUCAUUUCUUGUCCUUGGCAUGUUCUCAGCUCUCCUGCUAAACCCAGUGUACACCCUGAUCUUCUUACCAGCCUAAUGAGUCCUUUGCUUUUUAUUCUUUUUGCCAUUCCUCCUACAUAGUAGGCACUUGUUAUUAAAGUGUGAUAAAUAUAUGCACCAGCUCCAAAUAAUACUGAGCCCAACGACUUCCACCAUGCAUAUGGGCCUGUGUGCUUAGUUUUUCAAAAGAGUACUUGCUUAAUUGUAGGUACUGCAUCUUCGUACACAGGAUGCUUUAUAUUUCAUGCUUGCUAAGCAGAAAUAACUUUAAAUCUUCAAUUUUGAAGUUUUAUAUUUAUGCAGCUUUUAUUUUAUUUUUAUUUUUAUUUUUUAUUUUUGAGACAGUCUCACUCACUUUGUUGCCCAGGCUCGAGUGCAUUGUCAUGAUCUCGGCUCACUGCAACCUCUGCCUCCUCAGUUCAAGUGAUUCUCCUGCCUCAGCUUCCCAAGUAGCUGGGAUUAAUUUUUGUAUUUUUUAAUAGAGACAGGGUUUCACAUGUUGGCCAGGCUGGUCUUGAACUCCUGAGCUCAAGUGAUCCUCCUGCCUUACCCUCCCAAAGUGCUGGGAUUACAGGAGUGAGCCAUUGUACCCGUUUACCAUUUUAUAUCCCUACCGGCAGUGCAUGUUCAUUUAUGUAGUUCAUAUAUGUAGCUCUUUUAAACAAUGUUUUGAUUUUGAGAUCCUGAUUUUCAAAAUAAUUUGCUGUGUUAAACGUUGCUUGACAAAAGAAAGACAUCAAUGAGCGUGAGGGAAUAUGUUUAAAUAUGUCUAUUUUAUUUAAAAUGUUGAUCUAAUUUUUUUUUUUUUUUUUUUUUUUUUUUUUUUGCGACGGAGUCUUGUUCUGUCGCCCAGGCUGGAGUGCAGUGGCACAAUCUUGGCUCACUGCAACUUCCGCUUCCCGGUUUCAAGCGAUUCUCCUGCCUCAGCCUCCCAAGUAGCUGGGAUUACAGGUGCAUGCCACCACACCUGGCUGAUUUUUGUAUUUUUAGUACAGAUGGGGUUUCACCAUGUUGGCCAGGCUGGUCUCAAACUCCUGACCUCAGGUGAUCCACCCGCCUCGACCUCCCAAAGUGCUGGGAUUACAGGCGUGAGCCACUGCUUCUGACCAAUCAGAUUAUUUUUGUUUUUAAAGAAUUUAAUUUAUAGAUCUUGGGCCUUGGUAUUUAACCAGACACAAUUAUUCAUUACUAUUUAAAAUGAUCAGCUAAAUGGCAUACUUCCUUCAAAAGAAAAUCUAAUGUGAUCUAGAGAAUAAACUGACCUUUCUCUAGAGUCUCCUAAAAUUCUUAGGAAUAGCUUCAUAUGACAUUCUACUUCUUUUAUUUAACUUAGAAACUUGUGAAAAAGCAUAUUCAAUUAAAGAAAGGCUGUGACUUGCUGAAGUUCCAGUGAUCAGUGACAUACUAUAUAUCUAAGUGGCCUCCUGAACUCCCCCACUUACUGACAGGAAGAGAAUCUGAUUUCAUAGAUACUUGCCAAUGUCCUAUUGGUUAGGGGUGGCGGAUAUCUGGAAAGCCACAAAGCAUGGUAUCAUCCUUUGGAUCUUGGUGACAAGAAAUGAAUAAAAAAGCAAAGCAAAAUAAAACAAUAGAUGUACUUGGUCUAUUUCAUCAUACCAAGAUCUAAGGGUUUAUAAGAGCACAUUGUUACCAAGCAACAAGCUUUUUGCUAAUCACACUUUACCAAACUGAAACUCCAGCAUAAGGGCCAGGGUUGUCUGAAUCUUGUCUGUGGCUCCCCAAAUGUGGGCAGUUCAACAGGGUGUCAGCGAAAGGAAUCUGAUGUUUCCGUUCCUUAACUGUGAAAUCAGGGAUAAUGUGCUUGCCUUUGGGGAUUUCUGUCCUCUCCUAGAUGGUCCACACUGAACAGAUCCAACAUUGUGUUCCUUUGUGUCACAGAGCCUACAUAACCCAUCACAUCUGUGGGCUAUGAGGGGUCAUUAGGCAAUGCCAGCCCUGCACCAUCGAUCUAACCCCUUCUACUCUUAGCUUUUUAGUUUCCAUAAGAAGCUUUUCCUUACCCUCCAAUUUCCUCUAAGCGAUUUAAAAAUAUUUAUUCUACACAUGGGUUCAUCUACUCCAAUGCUCACAUUCCAGGGUUACUACAUUAUAUUGACUUUUUCUUGAUUGUAAGUAAGCCUUUCAGGGAACGUGGGUUCGUCUGUGUGACUUCGUGGAAUUCUCAUUAUUCAAUGAGAACUAAAACCAGAGAAAGACAUAUCUCUGGUUCACAGUCUUUUUUUCUUUUUUUUUCUUUUAGACAGGAUCUCACUUUGUCACCCAGGCUGGAAUACAGUGGUGUGAUCUUGGCUCACUGCUGCCUCAACCUCCUAGGUUCAAGUGAUCCUCCCACCUCAGCCCCCAAAGUAGCUGGGACUACAGGUGCAUGCCACCACUCAUGGCUAAUUUGUUAUUUUUUGUAGAGAUGGGGUUUCACCAUGUUGCCCAGGCUGGUCUUGAACUCCUGAGCUCAAGUGAUCCCUCGGCCUCCCAAAGUGGUAGGAUUAACCAGUGUGAGCCACUGCACCUGGCCUGGCUCAAAGUCUUUGACCGAGUAGUUCGGAAUCCAAUAUUAUUUCCUAUGGAUGAAAAUGACUUUUUUUUUUAAGAUACAAAGAUGACUUCUCAGGAAGUCGAAUAGCAGUAGUAUACUUUGAGAGACUAAGCAGGUUAACAGGACCAAGGUGCUGUCUCUCUAAUGAUGUAUUAUUUAUUGUCAGUUAGAUUCUGCUUCCUCCAUAAAAGGACUUGAAUUAGAGACAGCUGAAGCUGAUAGGGUUCGUCUUUAGUUUCUUUCCACCUUGCUUUCUGCUGCUUCUUUCCCUCCAGCUCCCGACCCCCAACAGCUCAGAAUCUACCCUGCUCUGACCUCUUCCAAAAAAGGGCCUAUGCUCCCAAGGCACAUCAUCUUCCCCUCUUCUAAUCAAAACCUCCCAUCCUAGCAAGGCUGAAAUCAAUUUGGACAUUCUGAUUAAAGUUCUUCAUAGGAAAAUUAAAGUGACUAAUAAAUUUAACUCUGGGGAGAGGUGUUUUAAAGCAGUAAUUUAGUUCUAAUCUCAAUUGUUGGCAUUGGGAAGGCAGUCAGGGAAUGCUGCAGCAGGGAGCCUCUGUCCCCUUCCUGUCCCCUCUCCAAGUCUCCCCUAAGCAUGACAUGGAGUGGGGAGAAGCUAAUAGGCUCUUCUCUCCUGUAUUCCCAUUAUUGUCUCCAUUUAUUUAGGAGGAAACUGAGGUUUGGGAAGGUUAGUCACUUUACCGAAGUUUCUUCCUAAACCAGCGGGGACAAUAAAGGUACCUACCUCAUAGGGUCAUUGUGAAGAUGAAAUUAUCUGCUGCAUGUAAAACCCUAAGCUACCUGGAAAAUAAGUACAUAAUUUGGUAAGUGCUUGUUUUUGCUGUUAUUUAAUAACUGACCUACAAAAGGAAGGGAAGAAGCCAGCGCUAGGUACUCUCCAGUUUCCCUUUCUAUGUAUUGAUUUAUUUUUUAUUUUUUUAUUUUUUGAGAUGGAGUCUUGCUCUGUCACCCAGGCUGGAGUGCAGUGGCAUGAUUUCGGCUCACUGUAACCUCUGCCUCCUGGGUUCAAGCAAUUCUCCUGCCUCAUCCUCGCGAGUAGCUGGAAUUAUAGGAGCAUGCCAUCACGCCCGGCUAAUUUUUGUAUUUUUUUAAGUAGAGAUGAGUUUUCGCUAUGUUGGCCAGGCUGGUCUUGAAGUCCUGACCUCAAGUGAUCCACCUGCCUCAGCCUCCCAAAGUGCUGGGAUUACGUGUGUGAGCCACCGCACCCGGUCUCACUCUGCUGCCC